UAAUACGUGAGGGGCGAACGUUGUUCGGUGUCACUGGGCUUAAAGGGCGCGUAGGUGGUUGCGUAAGUAACGUGUGAAAUCCCUCGGCUUACCCGGGGAAUUGCACGUUAUACUGCGUGACUUGAGGAUCAGAGGGGAAUGGGGAACUCCAGGUGUAGCGGUGAAAUGCGCAGAUAUCUGGGGGAAGGCCGGCGGCGAAGGCGCCAUUCUGGCUGAUACCUGACACUGAGGCGCGAAAGCGUGGGGAGCAAACAGGAUUAGAUACCCUGGUAGUCCACGCCCUAAACGAUGGAUACUAAUCAGGAGUCCCUGCAAGGGGAUUCUUGACGGAGCAAAAGCGUUAAGUAUCCCGCCUGGGGAGUAUGGUCGCAAGGCUG
rnacentral:rRNA from 1 species